AGAUUAUGAACAAAGCACACACGUGGGGCUGCCAUUUUAAGUCGUGCUGACAUCUGAGGACAGCUGCAGGAGGUAAGGAGCAGGUCCCACAGGAAUGAGGAGUGGGUGCUUCCGGAAUAGCAAAGGCCCUAAGGUGUCCAGAAGGGAAAGGAAGCCUAGGUCUUCCCUUGGGUUAGGAAGGGGAGACGGAGGAAUGAUCACCUAGAGGCAGCCUCUGGAUGGACAGAGUGGCUGAAUCCCAGAGGUUCUUGAAGGCCACUAAAGCCUCUAGCUCUAGAAUCAAAGAUGGGGGGCCAGGGCAGGGGGAGAGAGAAGGCACUGGGGAUGGGAAGGACCAGGGCCAGGAAUGACUUUAGCACGAUGUCUGGGGACUCAGGAGUGAAGGGGUUGGAGGGUGAGGUCACUCCUGCCUCUAGCGCUGGGGCUGAUUGUCUGAGGGGUACUUCAGUAAGCUGUGGGUCAAAGGGGGUUGGAGCGCCUCUAAGAGAUCUGGGCCCUGUGUGGCUGCCCACCAGACUGACGUCAGGAGCUGGUGUGUGAAGUGGGCCCUUCCCGCCAGGGACAUGAACUUAGGGAUUGGAAAGCAGGAAUUCAGAUCGGGUCAUGGCAAGGGCGGGAAGGGACAGGAUGGAGCCUCAGGGAGGAGGUCAGGGAGGGGACACCAUGAGGCAGAUCAGGGUGGCGUCAGAAAGCCUGCAGAGGAAGGCUUCUCUGGGAGGGCGUCACCCCAGGACCCCCAAAGGAGGCCUGAGCAGUGGCCCUUGGAUCUGCUGUGGUGGCGGUUGGUGACUUGGACAGUCUCUCAUAUCUCUUCCUUGUAUCCAUGCCUCAAGCCAAGUCCCAGCACGUGGGUGAGGCUGACAGCUGUGUGGUCACCAAGCACCAGGCUGAAUGAGGCCCUGGAGUUCCCCUCCCUGCCUCAAUUUUCCCACACUUACACACGUUAAACAAACAAACAAACAAUAAAUAAAUAAAACCUCUUUGAUGACCACAGCCUGUGCAUAUGAGUCAACAAAAAAUCAUUUCCCCCACAGUUGCCGAAGCUCCCAGAACCGGAACAGAGGUGUGGGCAGGUGGUGCCGCUGGUGCAGGGGGUGGGUCUGUGGGCCAGGCUGAUUGGCACUCUCCAGCUUCGCCAGCGAGCUUGUUGAGCUUGUCGGGUGUAAGCCUGGCUCUUCUCGUCUCCAUCUUCACACAGUUCCUAGGGCUCAGAUGCCUCUCUGCCUCACCUGGUUGUCCCGUAUACAUUUUAAAAUGUUAAUUGUCUUAGGUAUGUGGGUGUCUUGUCUGUCUGGCUGUCUGGCUGUGCAUGUGUUAUAGAAGGUUAUGAGCCACCAUGUAGGUAGGUUCUGGGAAUUAAACCUGGGUCCUCUGGAAAAGCAGCCAGUGCUCUUUCUCUCCUGCUGAGCCAUCUCUCCAGCCUGUUUUUUUUCCAGAUUCUUCCUGAAAAUUUAUGUUGCUGGAUGAGGAAACAAAGUCGAGUUAUGAAGUAACUUUCCUGGUGCAGAGGCCCACCCAGAUUGGAAUUCCAAUAAAUUUGACUUUAUCUAUAUAAA
rnacentral:lncRNA from 1 species